UGGGACCCACAUGUCAGUUUCACACAGAAAUUAUAAAAAAGGUAGGGCCCACGUGGGCCCCACAUGUCAGUUUCACACCGUCUUUAGGGACAUCUGGUGGGCCCCACGUUGGCCUUCACGGACAGGCAGCUCCUCGUCGUCCAGGACAUCGCGGCGGUGCUCUUCCCGGCCACCGAGCGCGUCCUCGGCAGGGACGACGACCUCGUCCUCCUCGUCGAGUCUUUGCCCGCCAAGCUCACGGCGCGAUCGACGGCCUCGAGGCCUUCGCCGCCGGCGCCAUGGGGCACCCGCUGGGGCACGGCGGUGGUGGCGGCCGAGCACGGGGGAGCUCCCCAUCCCAUCUACUGUCUUCCGCUUCGGCCUAGCUCACCCUCCGCUGCUCUGCCCGCGGCCGCGCUCGCUCGCCACCCCUCCACCGUCGCGCUCGCCCUCCGCUGCUUUGCCCAAUGCUGCGCUCGCCCGCCGCCGCUCCUCCGCCGCGCUCGCAUAUUUUUUGUUAGUGGCUGGUUGCAGGAAGCAGGAACUCGAGAACUUGGAGGUUGUCACGGCGGACGACGGCGGUGGUGGCGAUGGCAACACCGUUACCGUGCAUGGCGACAAGGCUCCCGUUGAUGGCAAAGGAGAGGCAGCGACUCCGGCGAAACGCGCCGACGUAUCAGGUGGCCAAGAAUGCGGCAUGGUCCGCGUGGAGGAUGUACAGCGGGUGGAGACGCCAGCUGCAGAGAUCACGAAUGCCAUGAAGGACACGGAGAUCGUGAAGAAUAAGGACCAGGAGAGAGGAGGCAGCGAGAGGGAAGAAGAGGAG
rnacentral:lncRNA from 1 species